rnacentral:rRNA from 1 species
CAGUCGCCACGGGAAUACGAAGGGGGCUAGCGUUGUUCGGAUUUACUGAGCGUAAAGGGCGCGUAGGCGGGCUGAUCAGUCAGGGGUGAAAUCCCAAGGCUCAACCUUGGAACUGCCUUUGAUACUGUCGGUCUUGAGUUCGAGAGAGGUAAGUGGAACUGCGAGUGUAGAGGUGAAAUUCGUAGAUAUUCGCAAGAACACCAGUGGCGAAGGCGGCUUACUGGCUCGAAACUGACGCUGAGGCGCGAAAGCGUGGGGAGCAAACAGGAUUAGAUACCCCCGUAGUCCCUGUCUCUUAUAC